UCUUCCCAAUAUCUAGAUAUUGCAAGCAAUCUUGCCCUGAACUACAGAAUGGCUACUUAAAAGUAAAUAUUAUCAGAUCAGCUGCUAAGUACCAGUAAAGACUCAAGAGGACAGACAGAACGAACCAGUUCUUUUGUGCAGUCAACAAAACAGCUGCAAUUACUGUGCCCUUCAACAGGACAUGCAAUCAAAGUUUUUCUGAAAUGGGAACUGGGAAGACACUUCUUGACAAGAAGUUACCUUGAACUUAAAAGACUGUAAG
rnacentral:lncRNA from 12 species